rnacentral:rRNA from 1 species
AGUGAACGCUGGCGGUAGGCCUAACACAUGCAAGUCGAACGGCAGCACAGUAAGAGCUUGCUCUGACGGGUGGCGAGUGGCGGACGUGUGAGGAAUACAUCGGAAUCUACUUUUUCGUGGGGGAUAACGUAGGGAAACUUACUCUAAUAUCGCAUACGACCUACGGGUGAAAGCAGGGGAUCUUUGGACCUUGCGCGAUUGAAUGAGCCGAUGUCGGAUUAGCUAGUUGGCGGGGUAAAGGCCCACCAAGGCGACGAUCCGUAGCUGGUCUGAGAGGAUGGUCAGCCACACUGGAACUGAGACAGGGUCAAGACUCCUACGGGAGGGAGCAGUGGGGAAUGGUGGACAAUGGGCGCGAACCUGGUCCAGCCAUACCGCGUGGGAGAAGAAGGCCUUCGGGUUGUAAAGACCUUUUGUUGGGAAAGAAAAGCAGCAGGUUAAUACCACGCUGUUCUGACGGUACCGAAAGAAUAAGCACCGGCUAACUUCGUG